rnacentral:rRNA from 1 species
AUUGAACGCUGGCGGCAUGCCUUACACAUGCAAGUCGAACGGUAACGCGGGGCAACCUGGCGACGAGUGGCGAACGGGUGAGUAAUAUAUCGGAACGUGCCCAGUAGUGGGGGAUAGCCCGGCGAAAAGCCGGAUUAAUACCGCAUGAGACCUGAGGGUGAAAGCGGGGGAUCGCAAGACCUCGCGCUAUUGGAGCGGCCGAUAUCAGAUUAGCUAGUUGGUGGGGUAAAGGCCCACCAAGGCAACGAUCUGUAGUUGGUCUGAGAGGACGACCAGCCACACUGGGACUGAGACACGGCCCAGACUCCUACGGGAGGCAGCAGUGGGGAAUUUUGGACAAUGGGCGCAAGCCUGAUCCAGCAAUGCCGCGUGCAGGAAGAAGGCC